UUUAGGUCUACAUUUAAGGUGGAAUGCUCCUUUACACCAAGAUUUUUUUGGUCUACAUUGAAGGAUUUUAGGUGGAAUAUUCCUUUGAACGAACUUUUUAAGUAAAUGUUCAAGGAUGUUGGGUGGAAUAUACCAUCAGACCAACCUCCAAGGUCUACAGUAGUGAAUUUUAGGUGGAACAUACCAUUAAACUCACCUUUUAGGUCUAUAUUGGAGGAUUUUAGGUGGAAUUUUCUUCCAAACCGUCUUUUAGUCUACAUUUAAGGAUGUUUAGAAUGGUAUAUUCUUCCAAACCAACUUCUCAGGUCUACAUUUCAGGUGGAAUAUUCCUCCAUACUAACUUUUUUGGUCUACAUUGAAGGAUUUUUUCUAAACCACCCUUUCGGGUCUAUAUUUGAGGUUUUAGGUGGAAUAUUCCUUUUAAUCAGCCCCUCAGGUCUCUUUGAGGAUUUUGGAUGGAAUACUCGGUUAAACCAACAUUUUAGGUGCAUGUCCAAGGAUUCUUGGUGGAAUGUUCCUUUAAGGUGGAUGCGUGAGGACCUUGUAGGUGGAAUACUUCCUGAAACCAACCUUUUAGGUCAACAUUCAAAGAUUUAAGGUGGAAUAUUCCUUUAAACCAACCUAAAUUUCAUGUUUUGAUCAUUAUCAAGUGAGAAACCUCAAUCCAGACUCCUCAUAAUGACGUUUGAGAUUUAUGCUGCUGUUAUUUGUUUAGUCCAGACUAAAUGACAGAAAUCCACAACUGUAAUUUUAUUUCAGGACUCGGUUAUUAAAUGUCAAAACAAUCCAUGUGACUCUAAAAACUCAACAGCUUUACAAACUCUAAAGUUAAACUCUUCACAAGGAUCCAAAAUAAGUUGGACUUCUACAUGAGAGCUUUAAUUAUUCUUCAUCUACUUCCUGAAAAGUUUGGUCAAUAAAAAAGACAAAAACUAAUAUUUUCAGCUGAACUACAGACAGACUUUGUGAUUUUUCUGCUCACAUGUUGUGUUGUUGUAAACUUCCUCUUUCAAAUAAAUAUCCUCCUAACCCCCUG
ensembl:lncRNA